rnacentral:misc_RNA from 1 species
CGUUUUAAACCCGUGGUCUACGGGGAGUUUUCAAAGCGGUAGGCUGACAGUAAGCCGUUGGCGUUCGGAGCGUGUGCGUCGUUUGUACGCUUACAUGUCGAUAGUUUCUUUUCGGUGAAAAUAUACGUUUCGUUACGAUUGUUCUAGGUGUCGAUUUUCGUUAUUUUUUCUCUUCUCGAAAACGCCACGCAUUAUUUAUACGGUUGAAUUUGAUGUGCAGUAUCGUGAUUAUUGCGAGUGACGUAAUAUCGGAAAGAUCGUCGAAAAAGUGUCGAAUCACGGGAUUUGUGACCAUUGACCAUUGACGCGCUAUACAUAUUACGAAUAUAUAAUUGGUUAAAAUUAUUGGUGAUCGUGCAAAUGUCGAAAAAGUUCCCCACUUCCCCUCCUCGCAUAAUUGAGCAGUGAUAUCGAAAAUAGAACGGGAGAAAAAUUAAAAUGGGUUUCGCGGAAGGUGACUGAACGGUUAAACAGUUUAUCGGUUAACGCGAAAAAAACGCGGGACGAGAGCUGUUUGAAAUCCCGAGUAAACACGCAGUAUUCCUGAGUAGACGAAAGUUUAUGUUUGACGACAAACAUCGAGCGGAUCGGUGAAGGUACGUGUACGUAGAUACAGAAGUCCGCGUAUUUGUCCUUUAGACGUUAACGGUGCCGGCUGGAAGAGAUCGGUUUUCCUUUACGGAAAAGUUUAGCCUGGACCGUUGGGACGUAAUUUUCACUCUAGGAAUCCGAUAAUGGAGGUUCUCGGAUUUGAAAAGCGUCGUGUCUAAAAUGUUUUUCCAACGUCUUGGUAAAUUGGUUUUUCGUCGAAAUCUCAAGAUGACGACAUCGUUAAGCCGUGGAUUAAUCAUCUUGUCGCUUUUGACUGUUUUGUGUCGGGCCAACGAAUUAAAAGACUACUGUUCGAUACACAAAUUUGACAACUUACCACCUGGUGGUCUCAGAUUUACGAAAGAAGUCGUGACAACGGAAUAUGCAAAUAUCGGAGCGUUCAAAGCCCUUCAUUGCUGCCUUCGAGGAUACAGAAGCAUCGAAUGGUACAAGGACAACAGGGCCUAUCCUUGGCCAGGUGGCGAGAGCCACUUCAUCCUGUAUCCGGAGAGCGCGAACCAGACGAUUUACGCGCAGAAGGUGAGAGCCUCUGACGCGGGACGAUAUUCCUGUCAGGCGAGGAACGAUACCACCAUCCUCGAAGGGGAUAUCACGCUCGCCGUCCUCGGGGAGAAAUCGAGCGGAUACACGGGGAAACCGCUGCCAACGUACAGGCCAGCCUCGCAGUUGGUUCCGCUGGGAGGAGCUGCGAGAUUGUUCUGCGAGGCGUAUCUCGGGAAGGUGGAGCUGCCGGACGCGAAAAAUUCGGUGACUUGGUCGAAGAGCGACAGCAACGUCACGUUGCCGAGUCACGGAAGGAUCGCCCAGCACAAAGUUUCCAGGGAAAACAAUCAGAUCAUCGGCUCUUACUUGGAGAUCGAGGACAUCACUCUGGAAGAUUACGGGGAGUACAAAUGCGAAGUUAGCAACGGAGUAGACGAGGAGAUCACGUUACCCGCUCACGUUUAUCGACAAGAGCCACAAUUCGCGCUGGGACUGCAAAACGGAUCCUGGAGAAGAUCGUUCUUGGUGGGCGUUCUAGUGCUGGUUUUGCUGAUCUCGGCCGGCGCGUUCUACGCUCGUUGUUGGCUGCCACUGGUUCUGCUCUGUCGCGACAAAUUCGCCCCUCUCGAGGAGAACGAUGGAAAGGAAAGCGACGCCCUGGUAUGCUACCACGAGAAAGACUCGAACCUGGCCAUCGGCAUAGUUAUACCCACGUUGGAGUCGAGGCAUCGGUACAAGUGCACGUCGCUCGAGCUCUCCCAACUGAAUCAGAAUUGGUCGUUGGAGAUCGGCGCGCACGUCUCUUCGAGCCGAAGGAUCAUCGUGAUCCUGAGUCCAGCCUGCCUGGGGAACGUUUGGAACGAGGCGAGCGUGGGCCCCAUCCUGAACCAGUUAUCGUCGCUCGCGACACGAACGAUAGCGAUCGUGACCAAGGAUUUGCCGAGCGCGACCACGAUCGCGAAACGAUCGAAUCGGGGCUGCAACAACUCGACCGAGCUCUCCCUCGAUCGCCUCAAGAUCCUCCACUGGGACGAGGCGUGGAACUCGUCCGGUUCCGGUGACCACAAUAAAUUUUGGUACAAGCUCCGGCUCGCCAUGCCCCCUGUCCGGCCGAUCAGCACCGAAGGUGGCUGCCAAUCGGUCGCCAUGAUCGUCCAAGCGAAUGGAAAGUGCGGACAACAGAAGGCUCGCUCGCGCGAAAGUCUCGAGGUUCUAGUAUAAGUUUAAGGAAGAUGAGUUUCAAGGAGAAGAUAUGUGUAUUCCUACGUGUAUUCAUCCAUCCAUCCAUCCAUCCAUCCAUCUAUAUAUACAUACAUCCGCGUUUCUUACUUCCGCUUUUGCGCGAAGCGACGCGGCAUCGUGCCAAACGUUCGAUCGUCGACGCGUUUCCCAUCCGAAAAAAACAAA